GUGCCAGCCGCCGCGGUAAUACGGGGGGUGCGAGCGUUGUCCGGAAUCACUGGGCGUAAAGGGCGCGUAGGUGGUCUGAUAAGGGUGUGGUGAAAGUCCGGGGCUCAACCCCGGAUCUGCCGUGCCGACUGUCAGACUCGAGGACUGUAGAGGCAGGCGGAAUUCCGGGUGUAGCGGUGGAAUGAGUAGAGAUCCGGAGGAAGACCGGUGGCGAAGGCGGCCUGCUGGGCAGUUUCUGACACUGAUGCGCGACAGCGUGGGGAGCAAACAGGAUUAGAUACCAUAGUAGUCC
rnacentral:rRNA from 1 species